rnacentral:rRNA from 1 species
GAUGAACGCUGGCGGCGUGCCUAAUACAUGCAAGUCGAGCGAACAGACGAGGAGCUUGCUCCUCUGACGUUAGCGGCGGACGGGUGAGUAACACGUGGAUAACCUACCUAUAAGACUGGGAUAACUUCGGGAAACCGGAGCUAAUACCGGAUAAUAUAUUGAACCGCUUGGUUCAAUAGUGAAAGACGGCUUUGCUGUCACUUAUAGAUGGAUCCGCGCCGCAUUAGCUAGUUGGUACGGUAACGGCUUACCAAGGCAACGAUGCGUAGCCGACCUGAGAGGCUGAUCGCCCGCACGGGAGCUGAAACACGGACCAGGCGACUACGGGACGCAGCAGUAGGGAAUCGGCCGCAGUGGGCGAAAGCCUGACGGAGCAACGCCGCGUGAGAGAUGAAGGUCUUCGGAUCGUAAAACUCUGUUAUUAGUGAAGAACAAAUGUGUAAGUAACUAUGCACGUCGUGACGGUACCUAAUCAGAAAGCCACGGCUAACUACGUG